UACAGAGGGUGCAAGCGUUGUUCGGAUUUACUGGGCGUAAAGGGCGUGUAGGCGGAUAUGCAAGCCGGUGGUGAAAUACCCGGGCUCAACCCUGGUUGGUCUGCCGGAACUGCAUGUCUAGAGAAAGCCAGAGGCAGGUGGAAUUCCAGGUGUAGAGGUGAAAUUCGUAGAGAUCUGGAGGAACACCGGCGGCGAAGGCGGCCUGCUGGGGCUUUUCUGACGCUGAGGCGCGAAAGCGUGGGUAGCAAACAGGAUUAGAUACCCUGGUAGUCCACGCUGUAAACGAUGAGCACUCGAUGUGCGAGGUUUACGACCCCUCGCGUGUCACAGCUAACGCAUUAAGUGCUCCGCCUGGGGAUUACGGUCGCAAGACUAAA
rnacentral:rRNA from 1 species